rnacentral:tRNA from 1 species
AGGGUUGUGGCUCAGUGGCAGAACAUCUGCUUUACAUGCAAAUGACCCCAGGUUCAAUCCGUGGCAUCCUCA